UAAAGUUUAUGUGGAGCAAGCAACAAUUAUGUACCUACUAGCAACAGCAGGAUGUUUUCUGGUGGUGAUAAGCCUUGUCCACUAUUUAAUAUGU